rnacentral:snRNA from 1 species
UUGCUCACUUCAGCAACACAUAUACUAAAAUUGGAACUAUACAGAGAUUAGCAUGGCCCCUGCACAAGGAUGACAUGAAAAUUCAUGAAGCGUUCCAUAUUUUA